rnacentral:rRNA from 1 species
AUUGAACGCUGGCGGCAGGCCUAACACAUGCAAGUCGAACGAGUGGCGGACGGGUGAGUAAUGUCUGGGAAACUGCCUGAUGGAGGGGGAUAACUACUGGAAACGGUCGCUAAUACCGCAUACCAUCGGAUGUGCCCAGAUGGUAUUAGCUAGUAGGUGGGGUAAUGGCUCACCUAGGCGACGAUCCCUAGCUGGUCUGAGAGGAUGACCAGCCACACUGGAACUGAGACACGGUCCAGACUCCUACGGGAGGCAGCAGUGGGGAAUAUUGCACAAGAGGCGAAAGCCUGACGCAGCAACGCCGCGUGAGUGAUGAAGGUCUUCGGGUCGUAAAACACUUUUAGCAGGGAAGCGUUACCCGCUCAGGAAGCCCCGGCUAACUCCGUGCCAGCCGCCGCGGUAAUAC